rnacentral:rRNA from 1 species
AUUGAACGCUGGCGGCAGGCCUAACACAUGCAAGUCGAACGAGUGGCGGACGGGUGAGUAAUGUCUGGGAAACUGCCCGAUGGAGGGGGAUAAAUACUGGAAACGGUAGCUAAGACCGCAUACCAUCGGAUGUGCCCAGAUGGGAUUAGCUAGUAGGUGGGGUAACGGCUCACCUAGGCGACGAUGCCUAGCUGGUCUGAGAGGAUGACCAGCCACACUGGAACUGAGACACGGCCCAGACUCCUACGGGAGGCAGCAGUGGGGAAUAUUGGGCAAUGGGCGCAAGCCUGACGCAGCCAUGCCGCGUGUAUGAAGAAGGCUUUCGGGUUGUAAAGUACUUUCGUCGGGGAAGCGUUACCCACAGAAAAAGCACCGGCUAACUCCGUGCCAGCAGCCGCGGUAAUAC